GACAGAAUGAACUGGAGAUAGAACAGGAGAGAGAGAUGGAAGAAAAGCAGGAAGUGAUUAAGGAAGCAGAGGAAGAGUACAGGGAAAGAGAAGAGAGAGGAAAGGAAGUAAGCAUGAAGAAACAUGUAGUAGUUAAUGUUAAAGCAAAAGCACGGGAAGUCUUCAAUAGGCGUAAAGAGAGGAGGUUAGAAGUGUUGAAGGGGAACGAGAACACAUAGAAAGAGGACAACAAAUCAGGAGGGAGAAGGAGGAAAGACGGCUGGAGAUGGAAAGAAAACAGGAGAGGGCAAGACAACAAGAGGAGCAGGAUAAAAAACAAGAGAUUGAAAUUGCUAGACAGAAAGAAAUGUUGAGACUACGAGAGGAGGAGAGGCAGAGAGAGGAAGAGAGAGAGGAGGAGAGAAAGAAAGCCAUUAAAUGCCAUUUAUCUUUAAUCAGAGAGAGAGAAAAAAUAAUACAGGCAAAAAAAAGAGAGGAGAUGGUGGAAGAGGAAAGAAGGGAGAUCCUUGAGUACAAGAGGGGUGAGUUAGAGGAGGAAAAAGAAGAUGUCAAGGAGGACAUUCUCCCAUCCGAUAAAAGUAUCCGAAGGAGAGCCGUGGGCUGGGUGAAUAAAAAAUGGGAGAAGAGGAACCUCAGAAAGAUAGAGAGAACGUAUCAGAGAGAGGCUGAGGAGGGCCAUAAGAUCGUCCACAUAGCCAUCCCUGGACACACAAGGCUAACAUCCACCAUGACCCGGGCAGAGAGAGAGAGGGAGAAGAGGAAGGAGCUGCUGAAGGCUGAGGAGAGAAGGAAGAAGAUGGAGGAUUUCAAUAAGCAGUGGAGAGAGCGGUCCCUGCUUAAAAAACAGACUCAUCAACAACUGAAGGAGGAGAGGGAGAGGAUGAAGGAAAACUACCUGGAGCAGAUGAAUCUGGAGGCUGAUGCUCAAAUCAACAACCGGUGUCUAACCACCCAACACAGCCACGAUUACAACCACGGUCAGGAGUUGCCCUGCUGGGCCACAGGCCAACAAGUAAGCCAAGAGCCCACUGGAUCUGCUGAUGGCCACCAGGAAAGGCCAAGGAGGCAACAGGCAUGGGCAGAGAACCAGGAGGGGAGUUCAGAGAACCAGCAGGAGGGGCCAGAGAACCAUCAGGGGGGGCCAGACAGCCAGAAGCUAGAAGCUCCAGAAGAGGUUGAAACAUCAGAGCGAAUAUCCAAGACAAAGAAAAAGCCAAGCAUCUGGAAGAAAAUUAGGAUGAGGUAAAGAAUGUUUAAAUAUCUAUUCAUGUUUUACACUGUUAAUAUACAUGUCAUCACUUUAAAAAGUGACAUUAUCCAAAUGUGAGGGUUUAGUGUACAUGCAACACACAUGUAAAUAUAUAGAUACUUACCUGUCUCUGUGAUGUCUUACAGCCUCCCUGACGUGCUGUCUGCCUAGAGCUGGAACUCGAUGAAGCCACAGUUCCACUGAGGUUACGUUGGUAAUUAAAAGUGUCGCCCAAUAAUUCCUCCUCCUCUUUAAGUCAUCGAGCCACAUGUCCUCCUCAAAACAUUAUAGUCUCCUCAAGCCAGCAAGUAUCCUCUUUAUCAGGCAACAAACCAUCGAAGGUCAGUGACCCUCCUCCCAAGAACAGAGACUCUCAUCUGUAUCCAAGUUAAAUUAAUCUCUGCUUACCACCUCUACAGUCCUAGAAAAUAUCCCCAAAAUGGAAAUGGUUUCAACAGAAGUCCUCCCCUCAGACCAGUGGCUCCACAGACCAGAGUUUCUCAUCUUUAUUCAAGUUGAAUGCAACUCUGAUCAUUUUCACCACCUCUCCUGUUAAGGGGAGGUGCUGAAAAGGAGGUCUGGGAGGAGGUCUGCAGGUAGCCUGGACCGGACCGGUAGCAGCUAAGUUGCUGGCUCCAUCCCCGGGCAGAGCUGCUCAAGUCAGGCCAGUGAUGUUUGAUGAUGUCCUUUUUGUUUGCAAAGUUUUACUCUUUAAUAAAAGCAUUUAGUAAAAAAGCAAUAUUGUUGUUACAGUGUGGAUUGUUUUGUUAUUUAUUAGAAUUGAAACAUCCAGUAGUCAUGGUAGAUGUUAGACUUUCAAUGAGACACCUAACAUUCCAUCAGUUUGAUACAAUGUGUGACAUGUUAUAUUACAGAGGAGUCCUCUAUACACAUCUAUUUUAGACCAUAGGAGUAAUAUCAGAUUGAAAUAGCUUCUCUAAGAAUCUGAGGAGAGAGCAACAGUAGACGCAUCGUUAGCUCUCCCACCUCCAGUUCAGUACUCGGGUCAUUCCACCAAUUGAGCACCUUUUGGGGGGUGUAACUUUAUAUUUCACCUAAUUCUAACAUUCUGUCAUAAAGAGCACAUGUUCAACUUAAUACAAAACAUGUUUUUCCAUCUCAAAGUAACAAAUACAUACUAUAGUAAGUGCCUAUUAAGUGCCAAAUAAAGUGACAGGGUUGACUGUAACAGAGUUGACUAUUUCAUCUAGAAUCGACCAUAGAUCCCCAUGUGACAGGGGGAAUGGAAUGCAAGCUUACCAAACACAUGUAAAUAGUUUAAACAUUUCUAGACUGUCUAUCUAUAGGUAACAGGGUUGGUGUGUUAUAAUUCACCCACCCAGUGGUGAUUGCAGCAUGUACAUCUUGGUGGGGAAAACUCCCCCAAAAUGUUUUAGAUGAAUGCCAGCAAAGCCACUACACAACACAACACUAAACAAUACAUUAAUUGCACUAUAAAUUUAACAAACGGUGCCCACAAACUGUUAGGGUCGACAUAAAGCUGUCCCAACAGCAGAGCUUUCUUUUCAGCACCAUGGAGAGAAUCCUUUUUAAAAAACAUAGCUGAUAUGGCUGACUUGCUUAAACAAAUGUGGUUUCUACUGACAAUUGAGAUGUACAAACUAUGGCAUAAGGGGACAACGAGUGGACUACAGGAUAUCUGUAAUUUAGAUUAAGACAAUGAGAGACCUAGGAUGGACGUCGUCAAUAUAACUAUUUGUUCAGCACUUUUGAAAUGUACAGCGACAGAAUUUUGAACAUGGGCCAUUCUUACAGUAUUCUCCCUGUACACCAAGUCAUAACUGCAUAUAAGCAGACAAUGAAAGCUCUUACAAUAUUUGAUGAUUACAUUUCUCUAAAACAGGCUAUAGUCUACAUGUACAAGACUCCCAAAAUGUUAUCAGCAUAUUGAUUGCGCAACCAGGGGUGGAAAGACCUUGGAUCAUUGUUACUCUAACUUCCGCGACGCAUAUAAGGCCCUGCCACGCCCCCCUUUCGGAAAAGCUGACCACGACUCAAUUUUGUUGAUCCCUGCCUACAGACAGAAACUAAAACAAGAGGCUCCCACGCUGAGGUCUGUCCAACGCUGGUCCGACCAAGCUGACUCCACACUCCAAGACUGCU
rnacentral:lncRNA from 1 species